rnacentral:rRNA from 1 species
GUAAUACGUGGGUAAUGUUCCCUCAGGCGGGGGAUAACCUUCCGAAAGGAGGGCUAAUACCGCAUAAGACCACGGCCUCGAUAAGAGGCUGCGGUAAAAGCAGGCCUCUUCACGAAAGCUUGCACCAGAGGAUCAGCCCACGGCCCAUCAGCUAGUUGGCAGGGUAAUGGCCUACCAAGGCUAAUACGGGUAGCUGGUCUGAUAGGAUGAUCAGCCACACUGGAACUGAGACACGGUCCAGACUCCUACGGGAGGCAGCAGUGGGGAAUCUUGCGCAAUGGACGAAAGUCUGACGCAGCGACGCCGCGUGGGUGAUGAAGGCCUUCGGGUUGUAAAGCCCUGUGGGGAGAGACGAAUAAGUCGGCGCUAAUACCGCCGGCGAUGACGGUAUCUCCUUAGCAAGCACCGGCUAACUCUGUGCCAGCAGCCGCGGUAAU